AACGGAUAUCUCGGCUCUCGCCACGAUGAAGAAUGUAGCGAAAUGCGAUACUUAGUGUGAAUUGCAGAAUCCCGUGAAUCAUCGAGUCUUUGAACGCAAGUUGCGCCCGAGGCCUCGGCCGAGGGCACGUCUGCUUGGGUGUCGC
rnacentral:rRNA from 1 species